CCUACGGGUGGCAGCAGUGAGGAAUAUUGGUCAAUGGACGAGAGUCUGAACCAGCCAAGUAGCGUGAAGGAUGACUGCCCUAUGGGUUGUAAACUUCUUUUAUAUGGGAAUAAAACGUUCCACGUGUGGGAUUUUGUAUGUACCAUAUGAAUAAGGAUCGGCUAACUCCGUGCCAGCAGCCGCGGUAAUACGGAGGAUCCGAGCGUUAUCCGGAUUUAUUGGGUUUAAAGGGAGCGUAGGUGGAUUGUUAAGUCAGUUGUGAAAGUUUGCGGCUCAACCGUAAAAUUGCAGUUGAAACUGGCAGUCUUGAGUACAGUAGAGGUGGGCGGAAUUCGUGGUGUAGCGGUGAAAUGCUUAGAGAUCACGAAGAACUCCGAUUGCGAAGGCAGUUCACUGGACUGCAACUGACACUGAGGCUCGAAAGUGUGGGUAUCAAACAGGAUUAGAUACCCCAGUAGUC
rnacentral:rRNA from 1 species